rnacentral:rRNA from 1 species
GAACGAAGCACCUGAGAAUGAUUCUUCGGAUGAAGUCUCUUGUGACUGAGUGGCGGACGGGUGAGUAACGCGUGGGUAACCUGCCUCACACAGGGGGAUAACAGUUGGAAACGACCGCUAAUACCGCAUAACCCGCUGGUGCCGCAUGGCACUGACGGAAAAGAUUUUAUCGGUGUGAGAUGGACCCGCGUCUGAUUAGCCAGUUGGCAGGGUAACGGCCUACCAAAGCGACGAUCAGUAGCCGGCCUGAGAGGGUGAACGGCCACAUUGGGACUGAGACACGGCCCAGACUCCUGCGGGAGGCAGCAGUGGGGAAUAUUGCACAAUGGGGGAAACCCUGAUGCAGCGACGCCGCGUGAGUGAAGAAGUAUUUCGGUAUGUAAAGCUCUAUCAGCAGGGAAGAAAAUGACGGUACCUGAUUAAGAAGCCCCGGCUAACUACGUGCCAGCAGCCGCGGUAAUACGUAGGGGGCAAGCGUUAUCCGGAUUUACUGGGUGUAAAGGGAGCGUAGACGGUGAUGCAAGUCAGAAGUGAAAGCCCGGGGCUCAACUCCGGGACUGCUUUUGAAACUGUGUGACUGGAGUGCAGGAGAGGUAAGCGGAAUUCCUGGUGUAGCGGUGAAAUGC